AUACGGAGGGGGCUAGCGUUGUUCGGAAUUACUGGGCGUAAAGCGCACGUAGGCGGCUUUGUAAGUCAGAGGUGAAAGCCUGGAGCUCAACUCCAGAACUGCCUUUGAGACUGCAUCGCUUGAAUCCAGGAGAGGUCAGUGGAAUUCCGAGUGUAGAGGUGAAAUUCGUAGAUAUUCGGAAGAACACCAGUGGCGAAGGCGGCUGACUGGACUGGUAUUGACGCUGAGGUGCGAAAGCGUGGGGAGCAAACAGCAUUAGAUACCCCAGUAGUCC
rnacentral:rRNA from 1 species